AUUGAACGCUGGCGGCAGGCCUAACACAUGCAAGUCGAACGAGUGGCGGACGGGCGAGUAAUGUCGGGGAAACUGCGUGACGGAGGGGGACAACUAGGGGAAACGGUAGCAAACACCGCACAACAUCGUAUGUGCUCAGAUGGGAUUAGCUAGUGGGUGGGGUAAUGGCUCACCGAGGCGACGAUCCCUAGCUGGUCUGAGAGGAUGACCAGCCACACUGGGACUGAGACACGGUCCAGACUCCUACGGGAGGCAGCAGUGGGGAAUAUUGCACAAUGGGCGCAAGCCUGAUGCAGCCAUGCCGCGUGUAUGAAGAAGGCCUUCGGGUUGUAAAGUACUUUCGGCGAGGAGGCGUUACUCGCAGAAGAAGCACCGGCUAACUCCGUGCCAGCAGCCGCGGUAAUUC
rnacentral:rRNA from 1 species